rnacentral:rRNA from 1 species
UGAUCUGCCUACCAUGGUGAUAACGGGUAACGGGGAAUCAGGGUUCGAUUCCGGAGAGGGAGCCUGAGAAACGGCUACCACAUCCAAGGAAGGCAGCAGGCGCGAAAAUUACCCACUCCCGGCACGGGGAGGUAGUGACGAAAAAUACGAAUACGGGACUCAAUCGAGGCUCCGUAAUUCGAAUGAGUGCAAUCUAAAUCCUUGAACGAGGACCAAUUGGAGGGCAAGUCUGGUGCCAGCAGCCGCGGUAACUCCAGCUCCAAAAGCGUAUAUUAAAGUUGCUGCAGUUAAAAAGCUCGUAGUUGGAUCUGGGUCGUGCGUUCACAUGUCGUUGUUUGGUUCUGGCUUCGGUCAGUUUCGAACGAUGAUGAGGUGGUCGCGCAGCCUUUCAGCCGUGUCUGCGUGAGCAGGUGUUGGCUGGCCGGUGGGCUUGCUUGCUGGCCAGUUGGCAUGUUUCCUGAUGCCUUUAAACGGGUGUCGGGGGCGUACGGCACUUUUACUUUGAACAAAUUUGAGUGCUCAAAGCAGGCCCAUGUGCCUGAAAAGUCUUGCAUGGAAUAAUGGAAUAGGACUUCGGUUCUAUUUUGUUGGUUUCCGGAUCCGAAGUAAUGGUUAAGAUGAACAGACGGGGGCAUUUGUAUGGUGGCGUGAGAGGUGAAAUUCUAUGAUCGUCGCCAGACAAACUACAGCGAAAGCAUUUGCCAAGAAUGUUUUCAUUGAUCAGGAGCGAAAGUCAGAGUUUCGAAGACGAUCAGAUACCGUCCUAGUUCUGACCAUAAACGAUGCCAACUGACG